GACCUCAAAUCAGGUARGACUACCCGCUGAACUUAA
rnacentral:rRNA from 1 species